rnacentral:lncRNA from 1 species
GAAAGAGGUUGGUAUCUAGGAAGAGAAAGAGGGGUGAACAAGGAGGAGGAGAAGGUGAUGGCCAACAAGGCUUUGUGUUAGUAAGGCUGGAACAUGACCUUUAAGCACAGCUAUGGUUUUCCUGAACUUAAUCCUCUGGAUCUUCAGAGCAGAGAAAGUGUGAGUUUCCUUUAUUCAACUUCAGCUUUUCCUCAGGCUAAAAUUCCUAAAACAGAAAAUUCAAUGCAUGUAAGACGCGUUUUCCAAGUUUAUGGUCCACUCCACCAUCUGUCUUGUUUUGUUCACGUUUUUUGAAGUUGUUUGUUUUUGUAAUUAUCUAGAGUUGUGGUUGAUGUAUUUAAGAAUGUCAGACUAGUAGGAGCUUGAUCAGCCUUUUAGGAACCA